AUUUCAUGACUGUAACUGAUGUAUGCGAACGAUUGUCAAUGAGGCACAUGUGUUGCGGAAGAUGACAAGAUGAAUACAUAAAGGGAGAGUGAAAGUAGAGUAAGAAGAAAGAAGCGAAUAUCUCGAACAUAUGUAUGCGUUUUUCACGUACCUUCUCAUUCCGGAAUAACGUUCGUGUAACAGUGUUCGAAUUAACUACAAACGGUCCAAUGAAAAGCAGAAAAAUUUUUAAAAACAUGUUGUACAUGGUCAAGCGUUCUCGCAGAUUCGUGGUCGACUGAAUACCACGAAGCAUCCAUUGUACUACUUAAAUCAACGUCGCCAUUUUGAAUACACAUCCACGUGAUCGAUACGCGUAACGGUCACAAACGAUGCGUACAUCGCGGAUUUCAUGCAUGCACAGCGUAUAGCAGUUCAGACUUCAAUAAAAAAGUGUACGAAUUUCAGUUGGAUUUGAGUUUCUGUAGUCUGUAAAAAUCUGUAUUUACAUAAACAUCCGUAGUCUAACGCGAGCAAGCAUCUACGCAUUACCAGUACCCGUUUUAUGAAUUCAAAAGUAACUCAUGUAUGCGAAGGGAAUUUCAGUGGAUAGUUAUUCAUUGAAACUACAGUGUAAGGAUCAAACCGGUUCAGUUUUAUGUGCCCAGUUUUCAACGAGAGAAAAAACAAAAGAGCUACAGUGGGAUGGAUGGAUUAUACGAGACGAAGAAGAGGAACAGGGUCGAAGUAUCGAGUACCAGGAACACCGAUCCACACCGCAGAGGAGCUAAGCAACGGGGAUCAUCUCGGACUUUCAACGAUUUUUCCGUAACCCGCUCCAGUAGCUGUGUCCACGUGUUUUGUCGCGUCCAGUAGGUAAGUUAUCGCGCGACUCUCGAGUGUCGGCCUUGAUCCUCGUGCAGGGUUGCGAUAGAAACGCGACACGCUGGUCACCAAGCGAGACCGGGACCCGUUAGGAGAACGACGAUAAUUAUUAGCCGUCGUCGGCCGGUGAUCGUCGCAUCAACGUUACCGUGGUCGAGGACGCUGUCCACGAACCCGACUGCGAGGGAAGUAUAUUGCAUGCAGAAAUCAAUUCAUUGGGAUCGAAAGACACGAUCUUUUGGGAAUGGACGAAUUAUUUUGGAAUAACUGAAUUAAUUGAUAUGUCUAACAACGAAAUGUCACGAUAUCUUGAAGGCAUAAAAAGUUGUCCAAAGUAAUGGCGAAUGUUUCAAGGACUGGUACGUCAUUUUCUGGAGAGACGAUGAAAUUGCUUUAGAAGCGAAUUGAUUGGUACAAUUUAAUGAUAAAGCGUCGUGAUCUAUCGAUGGCCGCUUGACAAUGAAAAUACCUAAUCGUAUCCGCAGUCUCGUAGAUGGAAAAUGGAUCGUGCUCGCACUCGGGAACCAAGCGGCGCCAUUAGAACAUGGAUCUGAAACGGACCGUGGUAACACACGUUUCUUUCUGCGCUCGCGCGACUAAAGCGCGUGCCCGAUGAUUUCGCGGCCGACCUGCGGCUUAUGUUGCACUUUCUACCGGGCACGAAGCUGUCCGCCAGAAAAUCGACGAGGGACUUUCUAAGAAAAUGGCACCGCUGUCGAUGUCUCUUGGAAACUGUUGCCUAUCCGAGUCUCCGACACUUUGAGUAACUAAUAGAUCCUAUAGAAAGUCUUCGCGGAUCGUUACUGCAUUUAUUUCACUUAAUAUUUCGUUCUCUAUAAGGUCUGUGUAAUCGAAAGUGCGGUUUCGAAGAACAUUAGCGAUUUCGUUGCGAUAACAGUCGCUAAUUAAGCAACGACGCGUCAGCAACGAGCGAGACGCGCGAGUGUCUUGAAUGGAAAGAUUGGUUCUUCAAAAUUCUAUCUACUCUUGUCAAGAGACAUCGUAUUUUACCUCAACAUUUUGUUUCUUAAAUCGUUAAAGUCGCUGUGUCUACACAAUGAAAGUUAAACUACAGAGUAACGCGAAGCCAACAAUCAGAUUUGCUCAUAAUCAGAUCGAAAUAGUGGAUCGAUUGCAAAUUCUCUUAGUCAUCAAGGAAAAAGAAAAAAAUUCUACCGAUGGCGUCUAUUUCGUGAUGGGAAAAUGAGACUACCAAAGCAGAUAGUGUCGUUGACAAUGGACCAGAAAGGAGAAUGAAGAAGAAAGUCGCGUCCCCGCGUAGUAAACCCGAGAAACUCCGCGUCCCACGUUUUUCCCCGAUCACAAUGCGAUAAUCGGACGCUGAAUGCUCGCGCGUUGCAAGAUCUUCUUAACCUUGACGUACACCUAUGCCUCCCGCUGCAUUCUUCCCGGCGUACGCACGCUACACGCGAUGAACGUUGACGACACCGCGUUUCGUUGUUUCGUUCGAUCGACCGACCGAUCAAGGCAUUCCACGUCGAAGCCGAUUUUACUCGUGGCUGAAAAUUGAUCGAUCAUCGAUAAGAUUUCAAGGCUUCCCACGAAACGCGCGAUUUCCUUUCGUUUUCCACCUACUUUCCUGCCCGUUGCUAAAUGAAGUUGCGUUACGAGUUUAAUACGUGCGCUUAUGGGAGCUUGGAGAUUGUUCUGGGAGCAUUUCGAAAGAACUUUUAAUCGUAGUUCACGAUUAAAACGAUUUUCUGCUCGUCAGGGAUUCAAUCUUUUUUAAAUAAGGACACUUUGUAGAUACAAGAUUUAAUAGAUUUCAAUCUCUAAUGUAUCACGGCACUGCCGGCUUUCCCUAGAAUCCGUGGCAUUGAAAACGCCCCUAGACGCCGCGAAAUCAACCGUGUUUCCGGUGGAAUUGAUCAACAGACGUGCGCAGCUGUAUGCAGGAUAGUCCACGCGACUCUUACAAGCGUGUAUCGGCGAUCUAAUUGCGCUUGCCCCGAGCGAUUAGAAAGAACCGUCUCGGGAAGCAAAUAAACGAUCCAGAGAGUACAUUUUUAAGGCGAUCCAGCUUUUAUAAUUGCAACGGUGCGCGUCUAUUCAACAAUUUCUCUAAUACUUUGUGAAAAAGAGUUUUUAAAGUAUCCAAAAUCUUCAGCAAAGCGAGCUAAAUUCGAGCUUGAACUCUUAAAUGCUUCUUCAUUGCAUACAAUUUCGUUUCGUCGCCCCAAUUGCACACAAUUCUUUAUCCUGAGCUUCUUAUAUAUAUAAUUUGGUUUAUCCAGCCUUAAUCAUUCACACUUUUCCUUCACGAUUCGUACCACUUAUUGUACUUUAUCUAUUGCAACAUUCAAACUUCUAAUACUACUAAUAAUAAUUCUAACAGCAAUGUCUCUUUCUAACAAUAAUUCUUACAGUUAAUAUCUUUCGUUCCUCUAAUUCUACAUCUACAUCUACUCCCUACUCCUACUGUCACUCUAUCUCCCCUCGUCUCUUUUUUAUUUCAACCCCUUUUUCAACCCUCCUAUCUUUCUAUCAUUCACUGCAUCCUCUAGUCUUGCCUAUCCCUCGAUCUCUCUACGAUCUCUAAUUAAGUACUCCAAAUUGCCAGAACCUCCUCCACACGAGGAUUUUCUUUCGUUCCCUUCCUCGCAAAAUUUAUUCCAUAUUUCCUAGAGUUCUCACUUUACUCGCAAAUCAUGAAUCAAUCCGUGUGUCCCGGGUCAUCAGGUUAAUCGUCGGUCAAGCGGUCGAAAAACGGCGAAUGGCCCGUCUAGGUCUCUCGAGUCUGCUUUCACGUGGUUGCGUUUCGCCACCAACGCGAAGCUCGCGUUCGCCUCGAGCGCGGGAACGUCGUCCUGCCUCCGCGCGAUUUCUUUGACAUAGAAAGGAAAACGCGACUGAAUGGGAAUCGCGAGGUGGCUGGAAAGAGUGUUCCCCGUCCCCCCUUCGCGGCCGGGAGCCGAUUGUUGCCGGGACCAACGAUUUUUAGCGAACGUCCGGGGAUCCUCGCCCGUCCGCGCGACACGCGGUGAAACGAUCCCGCGGUAAUUUGUGGAGAAACCCGGCAUCGCGAUGAAAGUGCGUUAAUUGGCCCGAGAAUAUCUUACUUUUGCUUUUAAUUCUUUUAUUCCGUCAUUUGAAUAUUCGUAUCACCGCGCGGCUCGCGUUCCUCGACGCCGGCCGGCGAGCAGUUACGCGAAUACCGGAUGGUUCGUGAGCAAUAACCGAGGAUCAUCUUCAUUUUAACCGCCGCAAUAAUAUUCUUCAUAGAAGACUCGAGUGAAUACGUGGUUAAUAGAUCAAGCAUUGAAGAGAACCGUCCGGCAGGAAGCAAAUUAGACCUGUGGCAAUUAAAGUCCCUUAGGGAGGCGCGAGCGGAUUAACUCGCGCGAUCGAAGGAUACGGGGAGAAUGUACAGAAACCCGAUACAAGCGAGUUUGAACGGACAAUUUCCCGGAUGAUUUAUGUACUUGUGUCGCAGUCGGCGCAAUGUUCCGCGCAAUGUUAACAACCUUGCGUAUACGAUAAAGCGCGAAAUAUGUAAGCGUGGGCGGCCACACGUACCGCCGCCAUACGUCAACGCGUAGGUCGAUAAUCGAACGCGGAGGUCCCUUUUAAAAGUCAACUAAGAUACGAUCUUGACAUAAAUCGGGGAAUGUCGCGCUCGAGACGACGGAGAAAAAAUGGCCACUUCUUGAAAAAAAGAGAGGAACAUGGAGUGUAAGAAUUCGAGCAGAAAAUUUCGGAAAAAUUCACGGAGCUCGUCGAGCGACGUGCUUUGUAUUUCCUAUUAUUUUAAAUGAUUAGAAAGCGUAGAUAAUUGCAGAAAUAUAAUAAAGGUACUUUCGAUAUACCCGCUAAAGGAGUACGGACACCUUAAGUGUGGCAAUUAGAAAAUUUUCCAUUAUCUCAUUCGCAAAUAGAAGAACGCCGACAGCUUAACGCGCAGAUCCACGAAAGUAAUUAGAGGAGCAACACUUUCAAUUCUCCCGGAUCACCGAUCUCCGGUUUACGUAAGCCGAGACAGUUCCACUCGAUACAAAACGAGCCAUAAAUUAAUCGAAUCCGCGGCUAGAAGGAGAUUUGCAUCGCGAAUUAAUUUGCCGGGCGUGUAUCCAGCACUUUUCGUCCCCCGCCCGGCACGACCGGUAAGCGGACGCACGGAUUUCUAGAGAAAAAAGUGCACCCGUGCCGAGUUCAAUGUCCUGCGAGUCGAAAGCGUUAAUUGAGCGCGCCUUAUCCGCAACAGAUUCGUAAGAAAAGUCACCGUUCACCGGCGAAACUAGUUCCUAAAUAACAUUUCAGUUUCGCGAACCGCGGGGAUAGGUAAAACGCCGACAACUUUCAUUCCGAUUUUUCAACACCCUUACGCACUGAACCGGCCGUCGAGUUUCCACGGCGCGGAUAGAAAUUUCUGCGCACGUCGAUCGCGACGGGGAGCGCUAAUUCACAGGGUCGACGGAUGAUCGUGCAAAUCGGCGAUCUUGCACGCUGAUUUGUCAAACCGCUAAUCAUACGAUCUCCCGUUAAUAUCGUUUCCUUCGAUUUCGUGGACUCCUGGCACGCAUUAUUAACCUUGGACGUUGAUGAAAUCAAUUUUAAUGUGUUUCUAUAAACGAUACCUCCAUUAGAAUAUCAUUUUUACGAUCGAUGUGAUCGAGUUUCUAGACGUACCGUGGAGAUGUUUAUCUAUUAAUCGAGCCAUUCGUUUCACAGAGCGAUUUCCUCUGCGAAAUGAAACGUGGAAGAACUUACAGGGAAAUUAGAUUGUACGAAUUAUUAGAAAAUAGGAGUCGUAUGUUUCUGCUGGAAGUACUGAUUGAGCUUUAAAUUGAAUAAUGGAUUGGAAAGAUGGUUUUUAGCUGGGAUAUUUGGAAGCGUUCGCGGAACGGAGUUGAUCACUUUGACUGGUGAACGUCUCGAUUAAAAAGGUUAGCAGACAAAGCAGUCCUCGCCGGUUCCACGUCUCUAUUAUUCGGUUUACUAGGCUCGUCCCUCGACUUCCCGACAAUUUACCCUGGCGCAAUGUAAAACGAAGUGUCCCGUUAUUCCGUGGAAUGUAAUUUCGUACGUCCAACGGGGGAACGGCUAGGGAUGUAAUUUCUCAGUUGUUUCUAGCAUUCCUCUUUCUCGCGUAAUCACCUGUUAUGUCUAUUCGGGAAUCACGCGGCCGGAAACCCGUGUAGCUCUCCGGUUUUCCAGGAAAACUUCAAUUCCCCAUCUUCGGUAAUCUGCUAGUGAAAUCUUCCUUCGCUUGCAAACCACAUAUUGCUCUUUUAGGGUUAAUUAAAUAAUUAGUCGUUCUUUAAUGCCUGGCAAUUUUCCGCUUAACUUUUCUUGUAGUCUUUUCUUAAGCAAUUUCAUGGAUGUUUAGAGGUUCUAAUGGUUCGAACUCAUAAGUUACAGUUCACAGUAUCCCUGAACGUUAAGUAGGAAAAUAUAUGUCUUUGACGAUAAUAUCUAUAACAUUUAAUUAAUAAUUAUUCAACAGUAAAUAUCUAUAAUUCGAAUGUAACGUCUACAGAAUGUAAGGUGCAGAAAUAAUUACAGUAGAAGAGAUAUUUAGUCACUCUUAAUUAAACGCAACAGCAUAUGCGUCAAUGUUAUGUAUAUUAUUGUACUUCGCGGUAUUUUUCAUAUUAUCUUUUGUUUCAUAUUGACACGUUAUUAUCAAGCAAAUGUUCCACGAAUUCGCUGAGCGAGAAGAGGAAACAACGGGGAAUCCGAUCUGUACAACAAUAGCCCGUGUAAAACACGUACGUGCCGUCGCAAGGACGCGUCGGCUGUUCCUUUAUAAUUCGUGGCCUGAAUCGAUCUUCCGGUUAUGUCACGAUUUCUUCAAUGGAGGCGCAAUUAUACCUCGUCGCCGCAAUUCCGCCGGUCGUUGUCGACACAAUAAAUACAUGCUCGCACGAGUUACGCCGGUGCAAUCGACUUGUGCAAUGUUCUGGAUCCCCCUGUCUUUAACCCAUUUUUGUUCGCAUCGACCAACGGAAUCGCUGUCACUUUCUAAAACAAUGCCUAUACUCCUAUAGGACAUAUUUCAACAGCUCCCAGCGAGUUGACUGAAACCCAAAUCACUUCGAAGGACUCCGUAUUGAAACAUUUUAUCAUUGACGAACAAUCGCGAGAUCUAAAGUAUGAUUACUUAACGUUUAGACUUUCAAAGAUCAAUAAUUAGUACCCGAGGAUUUCAUAAUCAUGUUUUCUUGCAACAGAAUUCAACAUUUUUCUUAGGGUUGCUAUUCAGAAAAAAUUAUACUUUGAUAUAAUACAGCUAUUAAGAAGCCUAUCAACAGGUGGCUAAAGUGCUAACAAAUUCGAAACAGUUGAUUCAUCGCACCGCCAUAAGAAAAGUGUGCAAACCACAAGGUUCCUUCUAAUGAGACGUCGUUCCAAUUACACCACAAAUUUCUUCUGAGCAAUGUUUACCACGAGAGACGUGCUCGUUGCAGCGUGACGGGAACUUCCGCGUUUUUCGAUUGCCCAACGAAAUUCGAAACAACGAUGCGACGACGCCAUGUUUCGCCACACGCCGAAACGACCCUGCCGCCCGGCUGAUUAUUCCGGCAUCGAACAUUCUUGCAUCGGCAACGGAAUCGCUGGCCCACGCGCGAGAACGGCGAUUUAUUAAAACGAUUUCGCGGCUGGUCGAUAAAUAGGCGACACGACUCCACCGGGAGGCCACCGUUUAAUGGACGAUGGUGUUUGAAUAGCUAGACAAGCGGUUUGCGCAACAAUGAAAGUAGCAGGGUAAAGGUUUCUCGCGGAAAACGGCAUUCCGCUCGUUCCUCGAAUAAGUCUGGUGCAAUGCGUCUGUAUCAAUCGCGAUGUUGUCCGAUUGAAAAUUACGAGCGCUCCCAAUCGAUUUUUUAACCGACGCAACGCUCGAUAUGGACCAGCUAAUCCGUGCGUUAGAUCGAUCGAGAUUACCGCGCGAUCGGUCGCAGAUUAAAUAGGUUUCAGAUACGCGAAGAUUAAGUUACUUUGAUCCUAGAGCUGCGCAAUGAACUUUCGAGUAUCGUAAACAAGCCGUAAGUAAACACGAUCACUCUCUGAAUAUUAUAGAUACAGUUGAAUACAAUGGACUUUUGAAUAAUGUUCCUAGAUUGUAGAUUAAUACAACGGCUCUCUUAACGUCUACACGCUUAUUCCUAGCGAAUUCGAUACCACUGAUCUCGAUGAAUUAACUUCCCGGCGAAUCUGCAUUAUUAAUCUUCAUUUGCGUUCAAUGGUAUUUUCAUACGAUCUCCAUAUAAUUGUCAAUUUUAAUAUCAAAACGAUCUGUGUCCGAGAGUCCUCUAAACUCUUGGAGACAAUAUCAUGCGCUUCAUUAAUAUUCUCCAAAAAAGCCUCGCACGUUAUAAUUUCUACAAACACCCGGUAGAUCGCCCGGUGUCACAUCUAGCGCAAUCGGAUCCGUUCUGCGGCGAAUACCAACGAUUUUCGACACGCGAUUUCAAAUAUCCGUCACGAGGCUCGUAGCCUCUGUCGCAAAGAGCAAAUUCGUUUCACCGUGAUCCGUUUGUCGAUCAACGACACCGAAAGCAAAUCGGGCAACUCGUCGAAUCACGUUCGCGGACGUUCCCGUGUAACAGUACCGAUCGCGAAAAAAUGAGGAAAAUAGAGGAUAGAGAAGAUUGGGUAGCGGACGGAGCGCCGGUGAUCGAUUAAGUCCGAAUUGCACAGGCGAUCCAGUCACGCCAUCAUCGCGGAAUGAGUCGCGAUCCGUUGAGCAUUAUCCGGUGCCGUGUUGCGUGACUGCCGGCGUGAAUGCUGACGAGCACUGGACCAUCGAAAACCAAGGCUCCCGUUCUCAGGAUUCAAGGUUUUUAGAUGUGCACGUGUGAACCGGCGUUCCUUUGUCUCGCUGUGGAAACCUGGUCUUUUUACUGGCGCGCGGGCAAAGUAUCCGGCAAUUGCGAUUGUUGGUAUCCGGCCCCUGAUCUUCCUGGUUCCAGCUUUGUCUGAACCUUAUCGCGGUCCCCCAUCGAUUUAUUUCUUUCGCUUCUUCUUUUGCUCGCAGUGCCAUUUUGUAAACAGUGCGCGCUGAUUACGGAGGUUCGGCUCGAAGCCGGUCUUAACCUGGAGGAAUGUAUCUAACGGAGCUGCCGGAUGGAUCGGAAUGAUUCCUGAUCUCUUUCUUCGGGAUUACUAAAAAGAGGAAAAUUGAAAAGAUGAUUGACAAACAACCGAAGCGAAAGAAGAGAUAUUGCCGCAGCGUGCUCCGGAGACGAAAUAAGAAGACUCACGAUAGCAAACGGAACGACAACUCAUCUGAAUCGGCCAGCGCAAGAAAUAUCAGCUGUCGUCAUUCUCGGAUGAUUACACAGGAUCUCAUCCCAGUGACCUACAAUAAAACUGCAACACGCGAACGCGCGUAUUACGGAGAUUUAAUGAAAACAAAUACUGCGGAUCGCGUUUCUACGCGAUCGACGGCGUAACAGCGAAAAGAGGAAUCGUGAAGGAAACGGAAUACGUGGGUGUCGCGCCGCGUCGGUCAAAGUGUUAAGUAAUCCCCAAAGGAUCAAGCCAAGCCGAUCGGGGCCGAAGGUUGCGAGAAUGGGAAAAAAGAUGCCAGUGGAUGUUACGAAAGGGAAACGGGCACAGAGGUCGACGGGAUUCCUGCGCCGAAUAAGCUCGAAAGAAGGGGACAUUUCGCGACGAGACGUUCACGGCGCUAGGCCGACGACACAGCGUUCGAAUGACGCGCGUCGUGACGAUCGUCGUUUCGUGCGAUAUAGGUGGCCAGCUGUUUCGGCUGCGUACGGAAGAACCUCGACUAUCCGACUUCAAACUCCGCACUUGGAAGCUUUUCGACGGAGUCUUUUGAAUCUUAACGAUAAUUCACACAUAAGUUCAGCAGUAAUUGAAUAUCAUGUCACCGAUGACUCCCAACCAAAUAUCACUAUAAUUCAUUGUAUUAAACGAUGAUUAUUUGAAAACAUUCGUAAAUAAUCUAAUGCGGUGACAUUCAGCUAGACGAGCAUGCAACAAUUAUAAUAUAAUUCAAUGAUUUAAUAUUAUAUUUCUUCUAUUUUCUGU